rnacentral:rRNA from 1 species
UACGGAGGGUGCAAGCGUUGUCCGGAUUUAUUGGGUUUAAAGGGUGCGUAGGCGGCUUUUUUAAGUCAGUGGUGAAAUACAGCAGCUCAACUGUUGAGGUGCCAUUGAUACUGAGAGGCUUGAGUACAGAUGAGGUAGGCGGAAUUUAUGGUGUAGCGGUGAAAUGCAUAGAUACCAUAAAGAACACCGAUUGCGAAGGCAGCUUACUAAGCUGUAACUGACGCUGAGGCACGAAAAGCGUGGGGAGCGAACAGG